CGUGGGUCCAUCAACAUAAUUUGCUCCUAAACCAAGAAGUAAGAUUAGAGAGAAGAAUGUUCAUAUGUUGGAAGUGGGAUGAUAAUUAGUAGUGUCAGUUGCUACUGUCACAUUCCUAGCUGGAUGUAGCAUCCAAUCACGGAAUUGCCGCCAAGGAGUAUUUCGGAGAUUAGGAUACUUGAGUCUUCAGUAAUCGGAAUUUCGAUUUGCAAUCUUUAAGUUGUUUAAGGAGUGUUUGAUCUCAAUAAGUGUGGUGAAAUAAUUUGAAUAUAUAAAGCAGAUUAAAGCAAAGUUGAAAGAAUCCUGAGGAAGGAAAGGUGGAAAGGGCUACGACAGGAUAUUGUAGAUGGUGGUGGAAUGUGUCUGGCUAGUUCAUGUUGAACUGUCUAAUUGGUAAGGUAUUUGCCGAAAAGUAUUGAGUCAGCCAUAAGGAAAGGAAGGAAGGAAGGUAUUUGAUAAAAGAGAAAGGUCUGUUAAGUGCAAGCCAGCAUGAUACAACGUGAGGUACUUCCUGCGUCAGGGAGUAAGGAGAGAAACAGAGAAGUAGGCGCCGGAGUACAACUUAUGUUAGUGCUAGAUACUCAGAGGACAGUGUAGCCCCGUUUAUCGUGAUAUUAAGAAACGAGGAUGAAGUGAAGCAAAUCGCAUAAGAUAUCAUCCAUGCAGUAUUGGUAGAAAGUUAUAAAAAGUCAAGGAUCUGAUCUCAAUUGAGAAGAGUUGAUUGUACAAAUUGUUACUAACUUUUGCAACUGCAAUAGCAGCUAAUUCCUUCACUGAAAAUGUGGCCAGCUACAAUGGUGAAUGGUUAGCAUAUAUUCCUGAUUAUAGAACAUCGAGAGUAGGGGUUAUAAGAAAUAUUGAUCCAGAUCUAAGUGAAAAGGUCCUAACUGAACGUAUCGUGCACUCUUCUCUAGAGGGGAUAAAAAUAAAAAUAGUACGGAUAGAAAGAAUCAUGAGACGGAAGUACGAUGGGGAUGGUUUGAUAGAGAUGGUGCUAACUUCUGUGGUUAAAAUUGUCAAAGAUUCAAUCAUAGUAUUAUAAAUUAUUGCAGCGAGCUAAGAUGCCCUUUCUGUGGCGGAAGACAUAAGGAAAAAGAAUGUCUGGAAGAAUCUGCCUUCUGUAUUAACUCUAAAAUUGGUGGUUACAGAACGGAUGCUCGUGAUUGUGAGAUGAACAGAAAACAAAGGGGUACAAGAAAGCUCAUGGCUGUUAGUAACAUACCAUAUACAGAAGCGCAUAACUAGCCAGAGAUGAUCAUUUGGAGGAUAGGCAGGAUGUUGAGUUUCUAGCAAUGCAAUCUGACAUUUCUAACAGAGCCAAGAAGGACAUCUAGCUCAGGGCGAAUCUCAUCAGGUAAAGAUGGAAGAUGUCUGGAUUUGCAGAAAAUUCGUCUAAACUAAUUCAUUGUCUGACCAUGGGGGAGGUUAAAGAUAUUAGGGAAAUUGUGAAUAAUAUUGCAGAUGCAAAGAUCGAAGCUAUUCGUAACCAGAUAAAAGAAAACUUAACGAAUUGUAUGCUUGAACAGGGCUCUCCUGGAAGGACGUCCCUAGUAUGUGGGAAAGGAUUGCCUACUUGGAUGGGUAAUUUUUUUUUUCUCUCCAAGUUGGUUAAGAGUGACUACAGGUGAAAAGUUCCAGAAGUAAAUUCGCUGUUAAGUAAUUUCUGGAAUUGUAAAUAAGUAUAGGUAGUGGUAAUUGUGUUGUUUUGCUAUAGUUGGAAAAUAUAUUUGUUGAGUUUGUUAAAGUUAUAUUGUUAGGAGAUAGAGGGUGCUAUAUAUAUAUUUAUUUAUCUAGCCAAAUAUUUCUAUAAUCAAUUAUUUAUUAUAUAUACUUAUUUACUGUUAUUUAUACGUAGUUAUUAUUUACACAUAUUUAUUAUAUUCAAAGUUUAGAUCCUACAGAUCGUGAUUUCGCAUCGUAUUAGCAAAUCGGAGAAAUUACAAGUCUGAAAGGCAGGAGUGCACAAUUGGUAAUCACAUAAGGGGUCUUGAAGCUGGCUAUCCGUGUGCUGUGUCCAAAGGUCGGAGACGGGCCCCAGAUGUGGUUUACCAGCGAAGAAAGAAAUGAAGAUCUUACAAUGGAAUUGUAGAACCAUCCUGAGCAAAAGAAAGGAAUUAGAGAUGCUCAUGGAAAAAACUCAUAUAUAUAUCUAAAACUUGACUAGAUCAGUCUGACAAUAUCAACUUUAAGGAUUAUAAUAUAAUUAGGAAGGAUAGGGGAAAUACAAACAGGGGAGGUGGUGUGAUGAUCUUAAUUAAAAAGGACCUAAACUAUGAAACUAUCGAAUGUAAUAAUCCUUUGAGACAGUGAGUAUUAGAGUUAAGAUUGGAGACUUCAAUCUGAACCUAUUCUCAUCUCAUAGAGCUCCAAUUACGUCUACUCCCAAAAAGGAAUGGGAGAGGCUACUGCAAUUUAUUCCUACCUCAAAAUCUGUUUGAUGUGGAGAUCUAAACGCUCAAAGUGUUAAAUGGGAGAGUGAGAUACGGAACGUGGCUGGUGACUACCUGAGCUCAUGCAUCGAAGAUUGUAUAUUUGAUUGCCAAUGAAGGAAUGGGAACAAGACUCAAUGAAAAAGGAAGAUGCAGCGUCCUGUACAUUAUUAUAGUCUCCCCGGAUAUGGCUGGCUCUGGGAAAUGGGAGGUCUUGAAUGACCCGAUAGAAGUGAUCAGUAUCCAAUAAUUUUUUCGAUAGGAAACAUGUAUCCCAAGAUUGCCCUCAGAAGCGAAAGACUGAGUACGAAUAGAAUGGACAAAAGUGCUUUCUCAACCUAUGUGAAAAAUACUGACAGAGGCGAACAAGAGAAUAGUUUAUCUAGAGAAUAGAUAUAAGGAAAUCUAUAAGAACAUCAUGGAUUCGGCUCUAGCUGCAGAGGCGAAGAUUGUGAAUUGUGGCAAGGUUGGAUUACGAAAUAAAUGUGAAAGAUGGUGGAAUGAAGAGAGCGCUAAAGCCCUAAGUAAUAGACGGAAGGAACUUAAUAAUUAUAAAAAAUAUCUGAAUAGUGAAAGUCAAAGAAGACAUGAAGAAUGUAAUAAGGAAGCAAAAAAACGUUCAGAAGGGGGAAGCGCAGAGCCUACAGAGAGUUUUGCAAUUCUGUAAAUCCAUAGAUGGGCAUGACUAGAAUCUGGCAAGUAGUUAAGUAUUUUGUAAAAAAUCAGGAAAAUAUAUGCUGUAUUGAGAAUU